GACGUAGGGGGCGAGCGUUGUCCGGAUUUAUUGGGCGUAAAGAGCUCGUAGGUGGUUCGGUAAGUCGGAUGUGAAAUCUCCAGGCUCAACCCUGGAAUGCCGGUGGAAACUGUCAGGCUCGAGUCCGGAAGAGGCGAGUGGAAUUCCUGGUGUAGCGGUGAAAUGCGCAGAUAUCUGUAGGAACACCCGUGGCGAAGGCGGCUCGCUGGACCGCAACUGACGCUGAGGAACGAAGCUAGGGGAGCAAACAGG
rnacentral:rRNA from 1 species